rnacentral:lncRNA from 13 species
CCUCUCUUUUCUCCUUCCCCGCCCCUCAACACCUGUCCAGCGCUACCCCAGGACGCCCGCGCCAUGUACUCACAUCGACCCACUGACCGGGAGCGCGCACCAGCCGAAGAUGUGAUUGCGGCUUCACGGAUAGCGAGAGAGGAGGAACAGGGAGUGAGAGAGUGAGAGAGACCUGUACCGCAUUACACGAAAUAACGAGCACAAGCACACACUUUCACACAUGCUACUGCAGAGCUGACACACACAGCGGAGAAAAGAGAGGGAACAGCGAAAUAUCUGCGGUCACGCCACAGGCACUCAGGUCAGAGCCGUAUCAGGAGCCAACCAGGAGUUGUGACAGGAGAGGAGAUCCAAUCAGAGGAGAGAGAUGUUGGUGCAGGGCGGGCCUUGGGUCCUGUCUGUCAUGUCGUUGCUCCUGCUGCUGUGGCAAGAAAUGUCUGCUAUCGAGGUUCCUCUUGAUCGUAAGUUUACAUCUCAUUGUUUCAGUUUCUUUGUUUCAGGACAUAUUCAGUCACUGUAGUCAAUAAACAUAUUAUGCUACGCUAGUAACAAAAUGUAAUUUACAUACAAAACAUGGAUAUAACAGUAUAAUAACUUUGUUUUGUAGAAUAACAUUUUAUGACAUGCCUACUCCAUAACAAUAGAACUGUAACUACAGUAUGUGACUAACAUUGUUUAACACUGUAGACAUGCUCUAGCUAUAGGCCUGUGUUGCAAGGAACACUCUAAUAUCACUAACACCACCUGCAACAUCUCUAUCUCUGCCCUUCUCUCUCACUCACUCUCUUUGGGACUAACAGAAAAGAUCCAGCAGGAUUGUAAGUAUUAUUUAUUAACACAGUAAUAUUUUGUAUUGUGUCUACUGUGUCUAUUUUCUGUUGUGUCCGUUGUCUUCACUCUUAGGGAAAAAAACUUUAUUCAAAGGGUUGUAUGGGGACAGCGGAAGAACCCUUAUUGGUUCUAAAUAGCACUUUUUCUUCUUAGAGUGUAUUGUGUCUGCUGUAAUACUCAAUCCAGUUUCUACAUUGUCUCUAUGGGGGAUGAAAAUACCAAUUUGAACCCACAUUUACAGCAGUAAAUGAUAUAAUGGUGUAGUACUAGGAGCUAGGGCUGUUGUGGUGACUGUAUUGCCGCCACACCGGCGGUCACGAGGCAUGAUGGCAGUCAAAAACCACAUGACCGUUUAGUCACGGUAAUUAGGCUUCUCCAAGCUCUGAUGCUGCUGAUGGUCAUUAGUAGCCUACCAAACUUGCUAACUGCCGGGUACUCAGCACUCUAGAAGCACUCAGCACUCUGACAUCAAAUCUAAUUUUAUUGGUCACAUACACAUGGUCAGCAGAUGUUAAUGCGAGUGUAGCGAAAUGCUUGUGCUUCUAGUUCCAACAGUGCAGUAAUAUCUAACAAGUAAUCUAACAAUUCCCAACAACUACCUAAUACACACAAAUCUAAAGGGGGGUGAAUGAGAAUAUGUACAUAUAAAUACUGUAUAUGGAUGAGCGAUGGCCGAGCGGCAUAGGCAAGGUGCAGUAGAUGGUAUAAAAUACAGCAUAUACAUAUAUGAGUAAUGUAAGAUAUGUAAACAUUAUUAAACUGGCAUUAUUUAAAGUGCCAUUGUUUAAAGUGACUAGUGAUCCAUUUAUUAGUGUCCAGUGAUUGGGUCUCAAUACACUAUAUACAUGUGAUAUGAGUAAUGUAAGAUGUGUAGACAUUAUUAAAG